rnacentral:rRNA from 1 species
UAUAGACCCGAAACCCGGUGAUCUAGCCAUGGGCAGGUUGAAGGUUGGGUAACACUAACUGGAGGACCGAACCGACUAAUGUUGAAAAAUUAGCGGAUGACUUGUGGCUGGGGGUGAAAGGCCAAUCAAACCGGGAGAUAGCUGGUUCUCCCCGAAAGCUAUUUAGGUAGCGCCUCGUGAACUCAUCUUCGGGGGUAGAGCACUGUUUCGGCUAGGGGGUCAUCCCGACUUACCAACCCGAUGCAAACUACGAAUACCGAAGAAUGUUAUCACGGGAGACACACGGCGGGUGCUAACGUCCGUCGUGAAGAGGGAAACAACCCAGACCGCCAGCUAAGGUCCCAAAGUCAUGGUUAAGUGGGAAACGAUGUGGGAAGGCACAGACAGCCAGGAUGUUGGCUUAGAAGCAGCCAUCAUUUAAAGAAAGCGUAAUAGCUCACUGGUCGAGUCGGCCUGCGCGGAAGAUGUAACGGGGCUAAACCAUGCACCGAAGCUGCGGCAGCGACACUAUGUGUUGUUGGGUAGGGGAGCGUUCUGUAAGCCUGCGAAGGUGACCUGUGAGGGUUGCUGGAGGUAUCAGAAGUGCGAAUGCUGACAUAAGUAACGAUAAAGCGGGUGAAAAGCCCGCUCGCCGGAAGACCAAGGGUUCCUGUCCAACGUUAAUCGGGGCAGGGUGAGUCGACCCCUAAGGCGAGGCCGAAAGGCGUAGUCGAUGGGAAACAGGUUAAUAUUCCUGUACUUGGUGUUACUGCGAAGGGGGGACGGAGAAGGCUAUGUUAGCCGGGCGACGGUUGUCCCGGUUUAAGCAUGUAGGCUGAUUGUCCAGGCAAAUCCGGAUAAUCAAGGCUGAGGUGUGAUGACGAGGCACUACGGUGCUGAAGUAACAAAUGCCCUGCUUCCAGGAAAAGCCUCUAAGCAUCAGGUAACAUUAAAUCGUACCCCAAACCGACACAGGUGGUCAGGUAGAGAAUACCAAGGCGCUUGAGAGAACUCGGGUGAAGGAACUAGGCAAAAUGGUGCCGUAACUUCGGGAGAAGGCACGCUGGUGU